AUACGUAGGGUGCAAGCGUUAAUCGGAAUUACUGGGCGUAAAGCGUGCGCAGGCGGUUUUGUAAGACAGUGGUGAAAUCCCCGGGCUCAACCUGGGAACUGCCAUUGUGACUGCAAGGCUGGAGUGUGGCAGAGGGGGAUGGAAUUCCGCGUGGAGCAGUGAAAUGCGUAGAUAUGCGGAGGAACACCGAUGGCGAAGGCAAUCCCCUGGGCCUGCACUGACGCUCAUGCACGAAAGCGUGGGGAGCAAACAGGAUUAGAUACCCUGGUAGUCCACGCCCUAAACGAUGUCAACUGGUUGUUGGGGAUUUAUUUUCUCAGUAACGAAGCUAACGCGUGAAGUUGACCGCCUGGGGAGUACGGCCGCAAGGUUAAAACUCAAAUGAAUUGGCGGGG
rnacentral:rRNA from 1 species